rnacentral:rRNA from 1 species
CUUUCGAAAGAAAGAUUAAUACCGGAUGGCAUAGUUUCCCCGCAUGGGAUAAUUAUUAAAGAAUUUCGGUUGUCGAUGGGGAUGCGUUCCAUUAGGCAGUUGGCGGGGUAACGGCCCACCAAACCUACGAUGGAUAGGGGUUCUGAGAGGAAGGUCCCCCACAUUGGAACUGAGACACGGUCCAAACUCCUACGGGAGGCAGCAGUGAGGAAUAUUGGUCAAUGGACGAGAGUCUGAACCAGCCAAGUAGCGUGAAGGAUGACUGCCCUAUGGGUUGUAAACUUCUUUUAUACGGGAAUAAAGUGAGCCACGUGUGGCUUUUUGUAUGUACCGUAUGAAUAAGGAUCGGCUAACUCCGUGCCAGCAGCCGCGGUAAUACGGAGGAUUCGAGCGUUAUCCGGAUUUAUUGGGUUUAAAGGGAGCGUAGGCGGGUUGUUAAGUCAGUUGUGAAAGUUUGCGGCUCAACCGUAAAAUUGCAGUUGAUACUGGCGACCUUGAGUGC